rnacentral:sRNA from 1 species
AGUUCGCUGUCGCUCGUGUGCAGUGAAAAUCCUUGUGGGUCGUCUGGUCUUUUGGGACGAGACAGCCCACAAGAUUGUAAUGGAUAGCGGGACCAAUG